rnacentral:rRNA from 1 species
UACGUAGGGUCCGAGCGUUGUCCGGAAUUAUUGGGCGUAAAGGGCUCGUAGGCGGUUCGUCACGUCGGGAGUGAAAACUCGGAGCUUAACUCCGAGCCUGCUUCCGAUACGGGCAGACUAGAGGUAGGCAGGGGAGAGCGGAACUCCUGGUGUAGCGGUGGAAUGCGUAGAUAUCUGGAGGAACACCGGUGGCGAAGGCGGCAUCCUGGACCAAUUCUGACGCUGAGGAGCGAAAGCCAGGGGAGCAAACGGG